AAAGAGGCUCUUUUAAGAGCCACAGAUGAUGGUCAGUCUAGACCAA
rfam:Chaetura pelagica isolate M959 contig34464, whole genome shotgun sequence.